rnacentral:ncRNA from 1 species
CUACGUAUUUAAUCGUAGCGAGCAACAAAAAUGAACUGUUCUACGGUAAGGGCUAUAAAUACUGCCGUAGUAAAAUCUAUCUAUAUGCUGGAAACACUCAAGUAUCCGGUAGUAGUCGCCUCAGGCGACUGAAAAUCUAUCCGGUGGAGUCAAUCAGCAGGAAAGACCUCGUAAUAAUUAUUAAUUACUAAUUAUUCUAAUUUGUCAUCCUCGCGAAGGCGGGGAUCCAGACUGGAUUCCCGAUCAGGUCGGGAAUGACACAAACUUAGAUUAAAUUGAUUGAUAUGUUUAUGAGGAAUCCUCAGAGACUACACGAUAGACCCCCGCAACUGCGGGGUGAAGAUAUAGUCCAAAACUCACAAUGCAAAUACAUU